GACGUAGGAGGCGAGCGUUGUCCGGAUUCAUUGGGCGUAAAGAGCUCGUAGGCGGUGUGUCGCGUCGGCCGUGAAAACCUGCAGCUUAACUGUGGGCUUGCGGUCGAUACGGGCAUCACUGGAGUUCGGCAGGGGGGACUGGAAUUCCUGGUGUAGCGGUGAAAUGCGCAGAUAUCAGGAGGAACACCGGUGGCGAAGGCGGGUCUCUGGGCCGAUACUGACGCUGAGGAGCGAAAGCGUGGGGAGCGAACAGG
rnacentral:rRNA from 1 species